rnacentral:lncRNA from 1 species
GUGGGAGUCCAAGGCGCGAAGAUCGCUUGAGCCGAGGAGUUAGAGACCAACUUGGGCAACGUAGGAGACCUCCGUCUCCACAAGUAAAAUUAAUUAGCCGGCUGUGGUGGCGCGCACCUGUGGUCCCAGCUACUCAGGAGGCUGAGGUGUCAGUUGCGGAGCUGGUAUUGUACAUGUCCUCGCAUUUGGCCCUCCUGAAAAUCCGAGAGAGGAGAUGAUGUGUCCAAGGUCACUCUGAGAACUGAACAGAGGGCCGCCUUCUGGGACCCAAGACUCCAGGUUCCAGCCCACUGCCCAGCUGCCUCACCCUGUCAUGAGCACAAUAAAGGAGUUUCAUGAUUA